GAUGAACGCUGGCGAGAUGCCUUACACAUGCAAGUCAUACGAGAAUUUUUAAUUCAAGUGGCGGACGGGUGAGUAACACGUAAGAAUUUGCCUUUAGAGGGGGACAACAACUGGAAACGGUUGCUAAUACCCCAUAUGCUUUCGAGUGAAACGGAUUUUUCCGCCUAGAGAGAAGCUUGCGGCUGAUUAGCUUGUUGGUAAGGUAAUGGCUUACCAAGGCGACGAUCAGUAUCUGGUUUGAGAGGAUGAUCAGACACACUGGAACUGAGACACGGUCCAGACUCCUACGGGAGGCAGCAGUGGGGAAUUUUCCGCAAUGGGCGAAAGCCUGACGGAGCAAUCUCGCGUGAGGGAUGACGGCCUAUGGGUUGUAAACCUCUUUUUUCAGGGAGGAAUAAAUGACGUGUACCUGAAGAAUAAGCAUCGGCUAACUCCGUG
rnacentral:rRNA from 1 species